rfam:Aedes albopictus isolate Foshan contig78971, whole genome shotgun sequence.
CGUUCUGUAGUUUAGCUGAUUAAAGCGCCGGUAUAGCCAAUACGGAGACGUGGGUUCAAAUCCCACCAGGACGC